GGGGAUACAGCUCAGUGGUACAGCUCUUGCCUAGCAUGUGUGAGACCCUGGGUUCACUCUCCAGUAUCUCCC
rnacentral:tRNA from 1 species